AAUUUUGUAGUCAAUCAUGAUUUUAAAUUGCAAAUUUAAAGGUGAAUAAUUUCCAAAAUUU
rnacentral:tRNA from 1 species